rnacentral:rRNA from 1 species
GAUGAACGCUGGCGGCGUGCCUAAUACAUGCAAGUCGAGCGAACAGACGAGGAGCUUGCUCCUCUGACGUUAGCGGCGGACGGGUGAGUAACACGUGGAUAACCUACCUAUAAGACUGGGAUAACUUCGGGAAACCGGAGCUAAUACCGGAUAAUAUAUUGAACCGCAUGGUUCAAUAGUGAAAGACGGGUUUGCUGUCACUUAUAGAUGGAUCCGCGCUGCAUUAGCUAGUUGGUAAGGUAACGGCUUACCAAGGCAACGAUGCGUAGCCGACCUGAGAGGGUCAUCGGCCACACGGUAACUGAGACACGGUCCAGACUCCUACGGGAGGCAGCAGUAGGGAAUCUUCCGCAAUGGGCGAAAGCUUGACGGAGCAACGUCGCGUGAGUGCUGAAGGUCUGCGGAUCGUAAAGCUCUGUUGUUAGGGAAGAACAAAUGUGUAAGUAACUAUGCACGUCUUGACGGUACCUAAUCAGAAAGCCACGGCUAACUACGUG